rnacentral:lncRNA from 1 species
UUAUAUUAUUACAGCUAUAAACGCUCAGCGUCUGUCUGUUACGUCAGAACUGUGACGCUGGUCUCCUAGACGCUGGCGUCUUUAAAGAAACACAGAAUGCGAUCUCUCUGGCAGUAAAAAUGAGCUUACUGGACGUUAGUAACGUACAGCUAUAAACGCUCAGCGUCUGUCUGUUACGUCAGAACUGUGACGCUGGUCUCCUAGACGCUGGCGUCUUUAAAG